UUGUCUCUCUGUUUCACAGUUUAAUGUUUCCCACUGUAUUCUUGACUAUUUAGACCAACCUAGUACAGCUGACUGGUCUCACUCGACCCAAGGAUAUUUUCCUCAACGGAAGAACGUAGUUGUGGAUCUGCUUCCGUCAAACCCCUCUUAGCCAUUUGAUUGAUUGAUUUAUGGUUAAUUUAUAAUUAAUUGACGAUUAAUUGUUAUUGUUGAUAAUUUAGAAUAAUGUGAUCUACAAUUUGUAUAAUAUUAAAUGCAUCGUUUCAUGUACAGUUUAUGGACAGACAGUGAGUGUACUGCACUGUACAGUUUAUGUUUCCGGCACAGAAUAAAAAGAACCUAGACCUAAUUAAAA